UACUGGAGACCUGACUGUGACAGACCACCAAGAAAACAAAAAUUUUAAGAGAGCAAAGAAGACCUUCUGCAGCUCCUGCGAGUCUCUCCUUUUUUCUUCAGAGUUACGUAGGAUAACUUAGCCAGAACUUAUUGAUGACUGCAUGUUCAGUGGACUCGGGGAUGGACAGAGAGAUGCGGGAAGGCACUCUUUGGAAGGAACAGAAGAGGAGGCAUUUCAAAGAUCCGGCAGGUGACUAAGGUGGUGAUCUGCUGCCAGAAUAAAUAAAUCUUACAAAGUGCUGAGCCUGCUCAGCCAUUUCCUGUGGUAUCACUCCCCUAUGAGGAACCUGUGUCAUCGCCUUUCUUCAAGUGUGUUCCCUCCUGUGGCUAGGUCCAGACUUGUGUGCUUUCCUCAUCAGCAUGCCCAUUAAUGUCAUCAGAACUAAGGACAUGAGGAGGAUGAGACCAGUACCUGACAAAUGAAAGCGUGCUGGUACAAGGCUUGAAACCAAUAGUGACCAGACUUCAGGCAAAGAAUUAGGGAAGCUGCUGAAGUCUCUACACAGGUGUCGACAGCAGUCCCAAGGCGCAUAUGAAAGUGUCUUACGACCCAGCCUCCUCUCCCCCAUCCCUGAGGAUGCAGCUUCCACCAUGACACAUCCCAUUUUUGCCUCUCCAGAAUGUGGGACUGCUUGCAUCUUUCUCUGAGAAGUCUUGUGCUGGCACUUUUAGAUACUAGGAGGUGAAGACUGGAAGCCGCCCAGGACACUGGCUGAAUCCAGCUGAGAGACCCCUCUUUCCCCAGGGCUGGCUGCAGCACAGAGUAUUGACCAGCGUUGCAGCUGCCUGGGGUCAAGUAUGCUGCCUCCCUGCCAACUUGCUGUUUUCCCUGUCUGACAUGGUUUGCUGUGGGCACUCAUGCUUGGCCAGAGGAUAUGCUCUAUGGCUCUGCUCAGGCAAGCCUGUCCCCCAUGUGUCCAGUCUCUGCAUCAAGUGCAAGCUUUUCAUUCCCCAAUGAAGACUAUUAUCCUUCAGGCAGUUUCUUCUAUAUGUUCUUCAGUGUUCUAGUCCCAAAUGAAAAUAACGAAGAAGCCACUCAUUAUGAGAGAGACUGUUUAGUGACUGGUCUUUCCACUUACUUCAGGAACGACUGCUGAAAAAGCUGCUACUCAUUUACCUACCAAGGCAGCCAGAUGCUUUCCUGAGGAUCGCUGCCAGUCUUGCAUCAUCAAAGGUGAACCGAUGUCAAGACACUGCAGAGUACGUGCUGAGAGACUGAGCUUAUUCAGGAUUGUUUCCCAGAUCUUCGCACACAUCUGUACUUAUUCACCCGUUCACACGAUGCUAAAAGAGCAGCUGUUACAGGGAGAACCUUCUCCUCAAACUGAUGUCUGCUUCUCCCAGCCCACACCUUCUGCCUCCUUCCCUCUGUGAGAUACGCCAAAUUUUAGGGCAGACCAAACAACCCUAUUCAUUUGGACCUAGCCAAGAACUGAACUUCAUCAACAGGGCAUCUGUGCCACACCUGUAAAGUGAGGAGUGUUUGAAGGAUUGUUUUGUCCUCUGCAUUGAUAUAUAGCUGUUCAUUGCAUGUGGAAAAACAUAACAUCUUGUUAGACAGGUCCUGAAGCACUCUGCUCUCUCAUACUGCUGCACGGCUGCAUCUCUGGCAUAAAUCAAGAGCCUAGUCUGAUCUAAUGCCUUUCUUAUUUACUACACAGAGUUUUUAAUGAUUUAUUUAGUGUUGAUUUUGGUUUUACCCUUCACCUGAAUUUGAAAACAGUGCCUGGCAAUGAAGUAUUGAAGAAAAACUUUGAGAUUGAUGAACUUGGUUGGUUUUGUGUGGGGAGGUAAAGAAGAUUUCAGCUCUGACAAUUGUAUUUCAGAUCCCCUAUUUAGUUAGUCGGUAAUUUUCUUUAAGAUUUAAAUACUCUCUAGGAUGGAAUUAAAAUUGUACUUUUCAAAUUUAGUGCACAUUAGGACUAGUAAAUUCUCUGGUGAUACGUUAGCUUGGGGAAAAUGCUCAUUAAUAUCUGUUAAGUUUCUUACUAUCAAUAAUUCUUAAGGCCUGUUCCACAAAUACUUUGGGUAAAAUGCUGAGUAGCGAUUUCCUCAGAGCACUUACGAUUAUUAGGGUGGCAACAGAAAAAAGCUAUAGGCUUGGCUUUUUUGAUUUGCUCUGCCAAACCACUUAGCAAAAACUACCGGCAUCAAGAUGGGAGCAGUCAGCUCCCAUUGUCCCUCUUUGCACCUCUGAACCGAUAACUCCCAUGUUUCCUGCAUGUGGGGACCAAUUAUUCUAUGUUAUUCUUUUAAAAUUAAGCAUUUCCCUUUGCAGAUGAAAAUUUUGCCAUGAUAUUUCUCACAUUUCAGCAUUACUGAACAAAAACAAGAGAUCCCAGCAACACCUCUUUGCCCAGCCAUGCUCGUGGGCAGAAGGUGGAGAAGUUCUCUGGUCGGUACCUCGGGAGGGAGGUGGCCAUUGAGGUGGGGGAAUGGAGAAGACAUGCCCACCAUCCUACCACUUUCCUGUGCAGGUGAAUCCUUCAGCUUGACAGGAGUCAGUGGAAACCCAGUCUCUGUGCCCACACGGACUCUGCAGACUUGAGGCUUAAUUCUCCUGGACAAACCAGAGGUUUCCUCCUGGUGGGCACUCCUGUAAUUUCUCUUUCCAGCAAGCAGCCCUGAUUCAGGAAACUUUUUCCACUGGUUGGGUAUCAGCUGAUUGAUCUCGGGGUCCUGAGGAGCUGGAUGAUGAGAUGCCUGAUCCAUGGCUGUCCACAGUCACAUGUUACUUCCUUUCUGAAACAGGGUGCUCCAGCACUGAAAUCCACUUAUGUAUUUAAUCAUGGACUAACUUUUUGUCUGUUUUCUCUAAGCUGUUGUGGGUUUUGUUUCCAGUAGGCGUAUUACUUGAUUAAUGAUCUUUCGGUUAGCACUUGCUCAUAUUCCAUAUGGGAUCUUCUUGGGUUAUCUAAAUGCACAAAAUACUUAAAACAAUGUUUUUCUUUUCUCAGCUCAACUCUGUUUUUAAUAGCACAAACUAUUUCUCCCCGCCCCACACCCCCCCAAAAAAGAGCCUUUUCUAGCUUGUCCAAAGUCACAUUGAAUGUCACUCGUGAAUCAUGUUGUCACCUUGUGCAGUAUUCCAAGAAAACAAAGUGUGGACAGGCUCUGUCAGUAAGAGUUUUGUAAUGUAUUUGUCAUUUCUUUUCUGUCUAGAUUAAGGGCUAAAUUUUGUGAUGUAGAUGAAUUUGUAGACCCCAUCUGUCUGAAAUCACACCAGCUAUUCAAAAGAGGGAGGAUGCUUUUCUUUCAACCAAUGAUAAUAGUACUUUUCUGGAUGCAGGUCGAAAGAUAUUUACAUCAGUAUAAAUAAGCAGUGAGUAACUAUAAAUAAAGAACAUGUGUAAUAAAAUGUUAUCAUUGAAGUUGAAAUUAAAAUUGAAUCCUGCCAAGCCCUAAACAUAGAUCAUGACAGAAAAAUCCAAUACACCUUUUUUUUUGGAGGUGUUGUAAUUAUAGACUAGGUAAAGGAAAAAAAGAUUAUACAGCAAACAUAAUUUGUAAUGAUUUCAGCAACAUUUCUGAUGUAAUGCCAUGAAAAGAAUGAGUACUUGUGCAUGGCAUCUACGCUUGCAUCUACAUUCCCCCUCGGAGAGGUGCCAUCCAAAGCACUUACCUUUUAACCUCAGCAAUGCCAUGGGCUGGAUGACUGCAGACCUGUUUCCAAAGAGGAUGCCACUCUUUGAUGCCCACUGGGUGACUCCUGCCAGGGCUGUCACCUCACCCUGACCCCCUGCAGCCUGGUCCCCCUGCCUGGGGAGAGCCACUGAUGUAAACCCAAAGACAAAUCAGGAAGAAGUUUUAAAACAUGGGGAGAAGCCCCAUGUAACCAACAGCUAGGUGACAGCUCACAGACUGUGGUGUUUCUGGAACACCAAUUCAACAUAGCACCUAAACAUAAGUUUGUGUUUAUAAAGAUGUUAUAGAAUGCAAUCCGGUUGAAAUUGCUCUCAAAUCUUACUUUUGUUCAACUUAUCCUUUGAUUUGGGUGAUAAAGAUGUUUCAAAGGCUGUGAAAGGAAGCAGUAUUUCAGAUGUGACCUCAGGGCUUCAGCUAAGCUUGGAACAGAUGUGGCAGUUCAAGAUGGGAAAUGACUGGAAGCCCCAGCUGUGCCAUCUAAAUGGGUCCACGGUUACAGACUUAGUUCGACAACAUUUUUCAGAAUGGUACUUGCCACUUAGCCCCUCUUCAUGGUUGGACUCUAUGAUCUUAGAGGUCUUUUCCAAACUAAAUGAUUCUAUGAUUCUAUGACAGGGGGUUGUGCCAUGGGGCAACCCCUCCGUGGGGUCCCACCUGCUGUCCAUGCCCCUCCAUGGCAGUCUGACCUGCCGCAGCUAAGAGAUGCCUCUUGCCCCACCAUGUGCUCUCCAGGGGGACUCGGUCUCAGCACAGGUCCCACUUGCCCUCCUUAUCCCUGGGCCAGGAGAUCUGGGCUCCACUCAUUUCUUGAAGACAGUCUACCCAUGCUGUAACUAACUGCUUGCUGGGUAGUGGUUUUACAGAGAGAGAUACAUUAAGAAGCCUGAGGGCAGAGGGCUAUGUUGACUGUGCCUAAAACCAAGGCUUUCAUCUCAAAAAAAGUUUCUGCUUUAUCACAGCGGCUUGGUAUGAAUAUUGUGCCCUCCACUGAGAGAGCAGGAGAAGGUUUUGCAUCCACCAGGAGCACAGACCAGUGUGGAAAUGUGCAGGUGGGCUGAGAAAUGCCCUCACAGCCAUUCACACCAAAGCAGAAAGGGAGAAAAUUCCUGUCCACUUACCGGGAGUGGAAUCUCUCGUUGCCUCUCUAGAAAGCAGGGCUUGAGGCCAAAAGCAAUUUCUUGCACUUCAAUAGCUGAAAAUAAAGCUUUAAAAAAUAAGAACAUGUCAGGGAAUUAAAUGAGAACCACAAAUUUAGUAGGGCUAGUGAUUGCCCAGGAGAAUAUUGAGGAGAAAUGUAUAGAAAAGAGGGGUUUUCAGACACAGUUAAGUGAAUUACUGGUCCCAUCCAUAACAUCUGUUACAGUCCUGGCUGCUAGGUAUUUACUUUCAAAGAAAUCAGCUUCCAAUGCUGUCUGCUGAGGAGCCCUAAAUCAGGUGUGAAGAUACAAUUACUGAAAAUGAAUCUGUCAGAGCAAAUCUCAUGUAAUCAAGGAGUCCUGUUUGGGUUCCUCUCCCGAACCCAUCUUUGCUUCAGGGCUAACCUUAAGCCAAUGUUCCUCAAACCCAUUGGGAGUGAGCAAUGCAGGUGCAAGGCAGAUGUACUAAGAAGGUUAACAAAACUUCAAAUUAUUUGCCAUGAGUUGGUAAUGGUAUCUGGGAGCUAGCCAUCCACUGGGAAUGUCAAAUGGUGUUGUCUUUGGAUCUCCAUAAAAUGUCAGGCUUAUUUUAGUGCCAAAAAGCAGACACAGCUUGAUGCCAUUUCAGGAGCACCGGCAGCUCUUAAUAGACAUAUACCCAGAGCUUCUUACAUCUUCAUGCACUGGCAGGGGCUUGUUUUGGUAGGGCAUCAGUGCACAGUGCAUGAGACAUGAUUUGUAAAGUGACCAUGGCUGAGAAAUAGGCAUGAGAUCUUCAUUUGCUCCUCUGACCUCAGCCCAGUUACUUGGGUCUCUGAGCAAUGAGGUCUUUCUUCAUUUAACUAGACCCCUACUUCAUUGUGCCUUCCUUCUUGCAGGUGGGAUUCCCCUCAACUACUGCUUUCUCUUUGAUUUCUGCAAGUUUCUGUAGGAAAAGCUGUAUAACUCAGACAAAAAUGCUCACAUAAAAGUUCAGGUCUGACAAAGGUUUCUAACUUUUUUUUUAAGAUGAUGUUAUAUUUUUUCUCUUUACCUCUUUUUUUUUUUAAUCAAAUUUGGGCAAGGUGGAAAUUUUAAAUACAAGCCUUAUGCUUUACAAGAAAAGAAUAUAUUUUUCUUGCUUUUCUAAAAAAAUCCCACUUUCAGCUUUCCAUUAUUUAUCCAAAUAUUUUUACUCCCCUCUGUACUCCAGACAUUUGAUCUACAUGAGGCAAAACUAUGUUUAACCUUGAUAGCAUUGAAAGAAAUAAAAUAUAAAAUGAAUAGGUGAAAAGGGACAGUAAAUCCUCAUUGCAGAAUUAUCUGCCAGGCCCUGAGUCACGGGAAGAUGUCAACAAAAUAAAAUUUAUCUAAUAUUGAUGAGUGUGACAUUAAUGCACCUGGAGAGAAAUAACAACAAUCAGCACAGAUAUUUAGAAAAGAUUAAUAUAGAAAAGACCUUGGGGCUGUAGUGGGUAAUGAAGAGCUCAAGAGCUCACACUGGGAGGAGGGCGAUCACUCUCCCAAGGUGUAGAGCAUAAAGUGGGAUCUGCCAUGUGACAAAAAGGGAGUGAUGAGUGCAGCAUUAUGCAGUCUGGGCAAGGCUGGAGCCAGAGCAGGGCAAGCAUUUUUAAGCCUCACUUUCUAAAAAGGACACUGGAAAGUGGUCGGGGACUUAAGGAUGGGCAGGGGGAAGGGUGAAGGGAACUGCGUGUGACGGGUGUGAUGGAAAGCAAUUUGCAGGGCAGGAGGGAGCCCCAGCUAACGCUGGGAGGAACACUAGUAUUUGUGAGCUAUUAGGACGGACCUUCCCUGCAGCAGAGAUGGUAGAAGGGUCUUGAAUUAAAAGUGGAACAAUCCCAUUUAGAUACAAGAGAAAUGACUUAAUAAUAAGGGCUAUUACACAGGCAAUCGAAUAAGCUGUCUGGUGAGCAACUGAACACGAGUCGCUAUCGGCAGAAGGUUUCCGAGGGGAGACUGGAAAAUGUAGCAGUGGGACCAUUGUAGAAAAGGCAUCUCAGCAUCGUUCAAGCAUGGCUGAUCCAAAAGGUCCUUUGCCAUUGUUUUCAUCUGUGGUUCUGCUCAUAGGCUGCAAAAAAACUACUCCACACACAACAGAAGAGGCGAUGCACUCAGUUUAUAAAUUAAAUCCAUCUGCCACACGCGAUAAGCCUACACCAUGAUUGGGACAAAAGGUCCAGCUCUACAAGCCUCACCCCAGCCAUCCCAUCUGCUUUACAAGCACUUGCAAGAUCAGGUCCAGAAGCUGGAGAUGCUGCAUUCGGAGUCAUCCGCAGAGGUGGCUUUUACCACACACGUUUGCAAAGGAAGCUGGCACAGCUCCUGUCUAUUUUGAAAGGUUUGCUUCUGGAAUUUGCAAUGCUUGUACCAGUUAAAUACUAAAUUAUCAUAAAUGUAAUUUACAUGUUUCCCAAAUAAGGGAAUGCAAGUGGAGAAGAGAGUUUCUGAAUGUUCAUAUUUCCAAAUUAAAGGAAUGUAAAUGA